GUAUCUGGCAAGUGGAAUCUUUCUCUGUCUCUGCUUUAUGAUCAUCACGUGAGCUGCUUCCCUCCACCACACUCUUCCACCAUGAUGUUCUGUCUUACCUCCAGCCAUUAGGAAUGGAGCCAGUUGUCUAUGGACUAAGACCUCUGAAACUGUGAGCCCCCAAAUAAACUUUUCCUUCUCUAAAAUUGUUCUUGUCAGGUCUUUUAGUCAAAGCAGUGAAAAGGAUGACAAAAACAAAGGGAAACUAGUAUGAUUAAGAGGCAAUAGGGGAUUGAUUGUUGGUGGGACUGUGCAAAGUGGUUGAGGACCCAGAGUCUAAAAUCAAAAUGCUGAGAUUAAUAUCACAUCCCUGCUCACCUUUGAGCCUGGGCAAGUAUCUUGUUUAUGAGUGCCCACAUUUUCCUCAUUAUUAAAAUAGUGAUAGUUAUAUGCUCUCUUUACAGGGUGGUGUGAGAAUUAAAUGCUCAAUAAAUAUUGCCCCACUUUACUUCCAUGAAAUAUGUCUAGGAUGAUGAUUGUUGUGUUCGUUAUAGUUAGCCAUGAGAGAUAGCACAGGAAGGGGCCAUGUGACCUGGCUACAUGAGGGACACAGGCAACACAUUGCUGUUCCACAGCUCUUUGUUCUGCCUCCAAGAGAGCAGGAACGUUAUUUGCCUUGCUCUAGCUGCCCACAACAGCUAGAAUAGGCUCACAUUGCAAAAACUCAGCAGAUACUUCUCAAAUGGAUAAGGAAUUAAUGCACACCCAGAAUGUAUCUAAAUCCUUUAUUCAUCAGAUAAACUCCUACUACUUUUUUUUAAAUUAUUUUAGUCGUAGAUGGACAAUUUGUUUAUUUAUUUUAUAGAGUGCUGAGGAUCAAACCCAGUGCCUCACACAUGCAAGGUAAGCACUGUACUGCUAAGCCACAACCCCAGCCACACUUCUUAAAGACUUAUUUCAAGUCCUUUCAAUCUAUCUUGGCUUAUUCCUCCAGAAUCCAAAGAAAAUUUAGGCACAGUCUCUGCCUUUAUGUAUCAGUACAUCUUACAUAUCACUUUUAUUUAAAUUUCCUUAUUUGUCUUUCCCAUUACACAGGAGAAAUGACAAAGGCAAGGAUUGACUAUUUUAACCUUUGGUAAAAGAAUACCAUGCAAGGGAUUAAUUUACACUUUUAUUUCUGCUUGGAGAGACCUUGACAAUGUGUUAUUAAGAGACAAAAGCUAUAGUCUCUUAAUAGUCUCUUAGGAGAUAGCAGGCAGAAAUCCUGGGAUAUGGAGUUUGGGAUCCAUGGCAGACUUUCUAAUCCUGUUGCCAAGGAAGGACCUUUGGUGUCUAAGGGUCAAGACAGAACUUCUUUUGGUAGUCAUUUUAGCUGAGGGCAUAAAAGGACCUAUUGUCUGGGAGAGGAAUGAAAAUAGCACUUUUGUAUUUUAUGGAUGAAAUGCAGAGUGGGCUGGCCUCUAGUUUUGAGGUUUGUAAAGUUCCAACAUCUGACUGGUCUGAGUGCAGCAUCCCAGAACUGAAGGCAGAGCUUGAGGGAGAAUGGUUGUAUGUGACAGAAAGCACUGAGUGCUAAAUGCUACAGAUGCUAAGAUCCAGAAGGGCAUUUUCAGUUGAUUAUGGCAUUAAGAGAAUGGUCUCUCGUGAAGCCACCCUCCAUCAAAGUAACUAUUAGCCAGUGCAGUGAGCACUCUGCAGCAGCUACAGGGCCAGGCUGGCAGUGGGAGGGCAACUUCCAACAGCAACACUACACUGCAUCAAGGAAUAGCAGUGGAUGCUACCAGAACUGAGCUUGAAGUAAAAGUCAAAUGGACCUCCAAAUUGAGUAGUGUUCCCCCUUUAGUGUUCUCAGGAUACUUAAGAAACUUAGAAGAGAAAGGGAUCUCAAGAGAGUGUCACCAGAUUCUCCACUAAUCUAAUAUGAAG
rnacentral:lncRNA from 1 species